GACAGAGGGUGCAAACGUUGUUCGGAAUUACUGGGCGUAAAGCGCGUGUAGGCUGCUUCGCAAGUCGGAUGUGAAAGCCCUGGGCUCAACCCAGGAAGUGCAUUCGAAACUGCAGAGCUGGAGUCCUGGAGAGGAAGGCGGAAUUCUCGGUGUAGAGGUGAAAUUCGUAGAUAUCGGGAAGAACACCCGUGGCUAAGGCGGCUCUCUAGUACGGUACUGACGCUGAGACGCGAAAGCGUGGGGAGCGAACAGG
rnacentral:rRNA from 1 species